rnacentral:rRNA from 1 species
AUGAACGCUGGCGGCGUGCCUCAUACAUGCAAGUCGAGCGCACAGACGAGGAGCUUGCUCCUCUGACGUUAGCGGCGGACGGGUGAGUAACACGUGGAUAACCUACCUAUAAGACUGGGAUAACUUCGGGAAACCGGAGCUAAUACCGGAUAACAUGUUGAACCGCAUGGUUCAACAGUGAAAGACGGUUUUGCUGUCACUUAUAGAUGGAUCCGCGCCGCAUUAGCUAGUUGGUAAGGUAACGGCUUACCAAGGCAACGAUGCGUAGCCGACCUGAGAGGGUGAUCGGCCACACUGGAACUGAGACACGGUCCAGACUCCUACGGGAGGCAGCAGUAGGGAAUCUUCCGCAAUGGGCGAAAGCCUGACGGAGCAACGCCGCGUGAGUGAAGAAGGUCUUCGGAUCGUAAAACUCUGUUAUUAGGGAAGAACAAAUGCGUAAGUAACUAUGCACGUCUUGACGGUACCUAAUCAGAAAGCCACGGCUAACUACGUG